GACAUAGGUCGCGAACGUUAUCCGGAAUUAUUGGGCGUAAAGGGCUCGUAGGCGGUUUGUCGCGUCGGGAGUGAAAUCCACUGGCUUAACUGGUGGCUUGCUUUCGAUACGGGCAGACUGGAGGUAUGCAGGGGAGAACGGAAUUCCUGGUGUAGCGGUGAAAUGCGCAGAUAUCAGGAGGAACACCGGUGGCGAAGGCGGUUCUCUGGGCAUGUCCUGACGCUGAGGAGCGAAAGUGUGGGGAGCGAACAGG
rnacentral:rRNA from 1 species